UCUCAGGGUGACGUCAUUUUAGGGGGAUGCUUGUAAGGACGUAGUUGGUAUGCCUUACAAAAAGAUUGAACCAACUGGAGCACCAAACGCCUGUUACUAAGUGUGCGGUACUUGAGAUGUAAUUAGUAACUGAGCUUGGAGACACCUGCCUAGGAUUUGCUUUGGACCGGAGUUCGAUUCUCCGCACCUCCACCA
rnacentral:tmRNA from 1 species